rnacentral:rRNA from 1 species
UACGUAGGGGGCUAGCGUUGUCCGGAAUCAUUGGGCGUAAAGAGCGUGUAGGCGGUCCGGUAAGUCCGUUGUGAAAGUCAGGGGCUCAACCCUUGAAUGCCGGCGGAUACUGUCGGGCUAGAGUCCGGAAGAGGCGAGUGGAAUUCCCGGUGUAGCGGUGAAAUGCGCAGAUAUCGGGAGGAACACCUAUGGCGAAGGCAGCUCGCUGGGACGUUACUGACGCUGAGACGCGAAAGCGUGGGGAGCAAACAGG